CAGUAGCCACGGUAAUACGAAGGGUGCAAGCGUUACUCGGAAUUACUGGGCGUAAAGCGUGCGUAGGUGGUUCGUUAAGUCUGAUGUGAAAGCCCUGGGCUCAACCUGGGAAUUGCAUUGGAUACUGGCGAGCUAGAGUGCGGUAGAGGGUAGUGGAAUUCCCGGUGUAGUAGUGAAAUGCGUAGAGAUCGGGAGGAACAUCUGUGGCGAAGGCGACUGCCUGGACCAGCACUGACACUGAGGCACGAAAGCGUGGGGAGCAAACAGGAUUAGAUACCCCGGUAGUCCCUGUCUCUUAUAC
rnacentral:rRNA from 1 species